rnacentral:rRNA from 1 species
AGUAAUGCUUGGGAAUCUAGCUUAUGAGGGGGAGUAACUACGGGAAACUGUAGCUAAUACCGCGUAGAAUCGGAAGAUGAAAGUGCGGGACCGCAAGGCCGCAUGCCAUGAGAUGAGCCCAAGUGGGAUUAGGUAGUUGGUGGGGUAAAGGCCUACCAAGCCUGCGAUCUCUAGCUGGUCUGAGAGGAUGGCCAGCCACACUGGAACUGAGACACGGUCCAG